UUUCUUUCAUGUUUAUUGAACAGAAUUUCUGGUGUUCUUUCAUCCUCUGCUUCAACUGCUGGUAUUCUGAAAGGCAUGAUUGCUCUCACAACAUGACCGUGUAAGCUCCCGAUUUCCUUUAUCAUGUUGAGGGAUAAAGAAGCUUCGCAUGCGAACAUCUUCGAGUGGAAGAGUGCAUAAUGCUGCCUGCAUCAAAGAAAGUUCAUGAUCCAUAAGUUGCUCUUAAUCACUACGGAGCAAAGAAAGUACAAUUACUACAGUGAGAUAUCAAUCUAAGACCGAAGCUUCAUUUGGACACACUUCAAGAACAAAAUUACAUCGCAGUGAUCUUAAUUGGUGAAGAACUACCGACCAUAACGCAAGAAGGAAGAAUGAGAGAGUUCCAUUACUAUUCACUACAGUGUAUCGCUUUGUAGCAUGUAUAAUUAAUUUCAUUUCAUCUACAAGCCAAAGGGGGAAAAAAGGGUCUGUAGAGGCGAUGAACGGAGAGUCUCCAGAAGCUCAACGAAGUUGGACAUCACCCAAUUCUGAUCACUCCAGACUAUGAAGUUUCUCAAUUUUAAGCAACAAUUUUUCUUU